AAACUGCAGGCGACUGGAUGUAGUUAUAAAGAGGCCACAGAGGCGCUGCAACGAACGGUGGCCAAAAGUUUUUUCACAGCAUAUAGCCUGGCAACAACUCACCGCUCGAGCAUAAAAGAAUAUUGGUCAAGCGCCCUAGCGGAUAGACGUAAAGCCUGGUGAACACAAAGACGCUAACAUCCUGCAGAAAAGUUCAACAUGGCUGACAACACCGUACGGUCGGAAGAUGUGUAAGGACAAAAGUGGGAUCGUUGCAUUACAAACACCG